GAAACGUUUCGAAAGGAACGCUAAUACCGCAUACGUCCUACGGGAGAAAGCAGGGGACCUUCGGGCCUUGCGCUAUCAGAUGAGCCUAGGUCGGAGAUUAGCUAGUUGGUGGGGUAAUGGCUCACCAAGGCGACGAUCCGUAACUGGUCUGAGAGGAUGAUCAGUCACACUGGAACUGAGACACGGUCCAGACUCCUACGGGAGGCAGCAGUGGGGAAUAUUGGACAAUGGGCGAAAGCCUGAUCCAGCCAUGCCGCGUGUGUGAAGAAGGUCUUCGGAUUGUAAAGCACUUUAAGUUGGGAGGAAGGGCAGUAAGUUAAUACCUUGCUGUUUUGACGUUACCGACAGAAUAAGCACCGGCUAACUCUGUGCCAGCAGCCGCGGUAAUACGAG
rnacentral:rRNA from 1 species